GGUGAACGCUGGCGGUAGGCCUAACACAUGCCAGUCGAACGGCAGCACAGUAAGAGCUUGCCCUUACGGGUGGCGAGUGGCGGACGGGUGAGGAAUACAUCGGAAUCUACUUUUUCGUGGGGGAUAACGUAGGGAAACUUACGCUAAUACCGCAUACGACCUACGGGUGAAAGCAGGGGAUCUUCGGACCUUGCGCGAUUGAAUGAGCCGAUGUCGGAUUAGCUAGUUGGCGGGGUAAAGGCCCACCAAGGCGACGAUCCGUAGCUGGUCUGAGAGGAUGAUCAGCCACACUGGAACUGAGACACGGUCCAGACUCCUACGGGAGGCAGCAGUGGGGAAUAUUGGACAAUGGGCGCAAGCCUGAUCCAGCCAUACCGCGUGGGUGAAGAAGGCCUUCGGGUUGUAAAGCCCUUUUGUUGGGAAAGAAAAGCAGCAGGUUAAUACCCCGCUGUUCUGACGGUACCCAAAGAAUAAGCACCGGCUAACUUCGUG
rnacentral:rRNA from 1 species